rnacentral:rRNA from 1 species
GAUGAACGCUGGCGGCGUGCCUAAUACAUGCAAGUCGAGCGAACAGACGAGGAGCUUGCUCCUCUGACGUUAGCGGCGGACGGGUGAGUAACACGUGGAUAACCUACCUAUAAGACUGGGAUAACUUCGGGAAACCGGAGCUAAUACCGGAUAAUAUAUUGAACCGCAUGGUUCAAUAGUGAAAUACGGUUUUGCUGUCACUUAUAGAUGGAUCCGCGCCGCAUUAGCUAGUUGGUAAGGUAACGGCUUACCAAGGCAACGAUGCGUAGCCGACCUGAGAGGGUGAUCGGCCACACUGGAACUGGGACACGGUCCAGACUCCUACGGGAGGCAGCAGUAGGGAAUCUUCCGCAAUAGGCGAAAGCCUGACGGAACAACGCCGCGUGAGUGAUGAAGGUCUUCGGAUCGUAAAACUCUGUUAUUAGGGAAGAACAAAUGUGUAAGUAACUAUGCACGUCUUGACGGUACCUAAUCAGAAAGCCACGGCUAACUACGUG